rnacentral:rRNA from 1 species
UAUUGCUCUUCAACGAGGAAUCCCUAGUAAGCGCAAGUCAUCAACUUGCGUUGAUUACGUCCCUGCCCUUUGUACACACCGCCCGUCGCUACUACCGAUUGAAUGGCUCAGUGAGGCUUCCGGACUGGCCCAGGGGGGCGGGCAACCGCCCCCCCGGGCCGGGAAGUUAUCCAAACUCGGUCAUUUAGAGGAAGUAAAAGU